GUUAUGAUAUGUCAGACAAUGUUCUAGUACCUUAAGGAAUCCUAAUAAUUCACAUUUUUGGGCCGAAUUAUCAUCUGGGUCAGCUUGAAAUAUUUCCCUAUCGUUGCAGGCCUUGCAAUAAUAUCCAUAGCCUCCGCCAUGUCGGGAGGUUCCAUCUGAGGCCAUCCAUGCCGGGGCAGAAGUUCCAUACAAUGUAGGGACUUUCUCUUCCUCUUCCGGGCUUGGAUCAGGUACUGUGUCCUCCAACCUCCAACAAUGCCAGUUGUAAUGUUUCAACUUUACAAUGCUUGAUCCAAUGCCACACCAUGCCAAGUUCGCUGUGUUGCUCAUCUCCGGGGAGAACAUCUGUCCAAACUUUCUUGGACACUUUCUUCAAAAAAGCAGAAAAGACUCCAGAAAAACCUACAGCGAAGACUCCUGAGAAGACGCCAAACAAGAACCCUUCAAAAAGUCCAACCAAGAGCCUUUCAAAAAGUCCAGCAAAGUCACCUCAGAGAGGUCCUUCCAAAUCAAUAUGAUUGCUACUUACAAUAUAAAUACAUUAAUGUA